UGUGAUGUGAUCUGCGAAAACCUAUUGUCACGGGGUGACUAAAUUAGUAGUAAUGAGUAGUAGAUUGAAUGGGGAAAGUAGAAUAUUAAGAAAGUAAAUGUCAUUGGCUCUGGGAAGUUGGGGGCGGGGUUGGGUUGUUUGUUUCUGUCUUUUUAAGGUGGAGGUUGGAAAAGGAAAGGGGAGCCCCGGCUAUCAGACGGAUGUGAAUUGAGUGACGAACUGAAACGGCGGAUAGUGAGUGCCACAUGUGAGAAGGGAAUUACUUCAUUGGACCUGUGAGAAGGUGGGACGGAAGCCGGAGAGACACCGCGGAAGUGGCGUGAGAGACGGGUGCCUCGUGUGGGGAACGCCAAGUCCGAGUGGAUGCGCCGGCGGUCUCUGGAAGGAUCCCCGAAGGCGAGGAGAGUAAAGGACUGACACUUAUAACGUCGCAACUGUGGAAGGCCGACCCGAUGUUUUAAGUCAAGGACUGCAUUUUGAACUCUGAACUGAGCCCAAUAUUUUAAAUGCUUCUGAAGUGAGUUUUUUUAAUUUAUUAUUAUCAUAGGAGUUAAUUUGCUGUGAUCAUUGUAUUUCUGUUAUUAUUUGUGUUUUAUUAUUGUCUGAUUGGACUACAUUCAUUUUGAAGCCUGAUAGUGACCAGAGUAGCGCUUAAUUACAUCCUGAGGUGGGGAAGUAUGAGUACAUAGUGUUGAGUGUGUCAUAUAGAUAUAUUGAUUCACAGUUGCACUUGAAGUGAUUAUUUGAUUUUUGGGGUGUUUGUAAUUUUUUUGUUGUUGUUUGUUUUGCGUGUGGGUUUGAGUACCUGAUUCCCCUAUCAGAAGCUUUUGUCCAGGCUGAUGGUUAAAUGUAGCCAAAUAAUUGAGGGAACUGUUGCAUAUUUAUAAGUGCAUACUCUUUUUAGGAUUUUUUUCCCUCAUUAUUAUUUUUCUUUUGUUUAGAUACAUUUUUAAAUACUUUUUUUUUUAUUAAUUUUCAAUUUUGUCUUUUAUAAUUCAUUGUGAAAUAAAGAUAAUUGUGAUUAA